GACGAACGCUGGCGGCGUGCUUAACACAUGCAAGUCGAACGGAAAGGCCCUGCUUUUGUGGGGUGCUCGAGUGGCGAACGGGUGAGUAACACGUGAGUAACCUGCCCUUGACUUUGGGAUAACUUCAGGAAACUGGGGCUAAUACCGGAUAGGAGCUCCUGCUGCAUGGUGGGGGUUGGAAAGUUUCGGCGGUUGGGGAUGGACUCGCGGCUUAUCGGCUUGUUGGUGGGGUAGUGGCUUACCAAGGCUUUGACGGGUAGCCGGCCUGAGAGGGUGACCGGCCACAUUGGGACUGAGAGACGGCCCAGACGCCUACGGGAGGCAGCAGUGGGGAAUAUUGCACAAUGGGCGGAAGCCUGAUGCAGCAACGCCGCGUGCGGGAUGACGGCCUUCGGGUUGUAAACCGCUUUCGCCUGUGACGAAGCGUGAGUGACGGUAAUGGGGAAAGAAGCACCGGCUAACUACGU
rnacentral:rRNA from 1 species